UACGUAGGGUGCGAGCGUUGUCCGGAAUUAUUGGGCGUAAAGAGCUCGUAGGCGGUGUGUCACGUCGGCCGUGAAAACCUGCAGCUUAACUGUGGGCGUGCGGUCGAUACGGGCAUCACUGGAGUUCGGCAGGGGAGACUGGAAUUCCUGGUGUAGCGGUGAAAUGCGCAGAUAUCAGGAGGAACACCCGUGGCGGAAGGCGGCUCUCUGGGACGGUACUGGACGCUGAGACGCGAAAGCGUGGGGAGCGAACAGG
rnacentral:rRNA from 1 species